rnacentral:lncRNA from 1 species
AUGACCACUGACUGCUUAUCCCAGCUUGAGAGGAGCACAGCCCACAGAGUCUAUUUCUAUAUUUCUAUACCUGUGAGAGAUGAACCACCCCUGUGAUGCCUUGCCUGCCUGUCCCACACUCUUUACCUCCCAUUCCUCCUUCCUUGCCUCUCUUGGUGGAGACACGGCAUUCUCCCACCCCUGGCCCUGGCUCCUCUGGCACUCAGCCACCAUCCUGCAGCAGGUCUGACUGGAUCUUGUGUCUGCCAGAGACUGCUCUUCAGCAGCUGGGCCCUGGAGGUAAGAGCAGUGACUGAGAAAGGCUUCUCCCAAGUAAAACAUGACUUAUUCAUAGGAACAGAGCACUUGGGGAGAAAAAUGUUAAUGUGAGAUGAGCCAAUGCCUCCCCCGAAAGAUCUACAGGCCUAACACUUCCUUGGACCCUACUUUCUGGAUGGAAAUACCUCUGAAAGACUUCACUUUUCUUAGCCUCAGAGCAGAGAUCUUCUUUGUAACAAGGCAAAGCCUCUGUUUUGUGUGUUUGCGAGCUCCGUUUGCCAAGCUCGUCUGGUGAAGAAACUAAUGGACACUGGAAACAUUCCUGUGCCUGCCCUGCUUCAUGUACUGCAUGCUGCACAGCAGCACAAGAGGAGUCCCUGUUUCUAAAAUUGAACUCUCUUUCUUAACAACCUCAUUUACCAGGACACUGAGCAGGCAAAUCAGAUGCACACGACUUGUCUGGCUGUGCUGCGUCCAAGCUCUGCCUUCCUGCAACAUUGGCUCUCCCCUUGAAGUUCACUGCAGAGAACAGACUGCAAGAAGAGAUGUACAGCACCAGGAAAAGUUAAUAGGCACGAGAAUAUUGGCUUAUAUUCAAGCUGAACCUUCCAUAGCACAAUAAUAUAUUUAUGAUCAGCUAUUGAGGCUCUACCCAGUUACCCAAACAUCACAUGAACUAAAGGUCCUGCAUCUCUCUACCUGCCACCCAAAAACAGUGUAAGUCUCCCACAGAUUUUGUGUUAUCAGCUCUGAUAACACAGAGCUUAGAUCUAUAUCUGGCUUAGAUACUCCAGAGCUUCUCAAGCAGCAUCAGGCUCCCAAGUUAGGCAACUGAAAUGCUCUCUCCAUGACUGAAAUAGCCUUCAGGCUACUAGAACAACAGCUAAACAAAUUCUGGGUUUAUGCUCAGGCAGCAGAUAGUGAACUAAAGGAAUUAUGCUGGGACACGCAGAUUGCAUUGAGGAUUUAGUGGGCAAUGAAUAAAAAAAAUCAUCUGGGAAGGGAACACAAAAAAAGUAGUUUGGGAAAUAAUGCACUGAACACAAAAAAAGAGACUUGGGUUUUCUGUUCUGAUAAGAUCAAGACAAGUGAUGUAAGCUUCUUGCCUCUUGAUGUAUCAGAUCAUACUGGUACAACUUACAUGCACUGGAAUGAUUACCUGGCACAUGAUACUGGAAAUGAUUCAGUAUUUAAGUAAUGUAGCAGGCAAAGCUCCUUUUUCCUCAUGGGCCUUACACCUUGGCUCUCUGAGUAUUCUUUUGUACACAAGCUUUGCUCUUUCAAGGUGCUAUGCAAGCCACACUGAGACUUCAUUAAACAUGUGCAAUUUUUACUUCAUAGAAGCACAUAUAAUUUCUGGAUCCAUGAAAAAAGCAC